CCUACGGGUGGCAGCAGUCGAGAAUCAUUCACAAUGGGGGAAACCCUGAUGGUGCGACGCCGCGUGGGGGAAUGAAGGUCUUCGGAUUGUAAACCCCUGUCAUGUGGGAGCAAAUUAAAAAGAUAGUACCACAAGAGGAAGAGACGGCUAACUCUGUGCCAGCAGCCGCGGUAAUACAGAGGUCUCAAGCGUUGUUCGGAAGCACUGGGCGUAAAGGGUGCGUAGGCUGUUUCGUAAGUCGUGUGUGAAAGGCGCGGGCUCAACCCGCGGACGGCACAUGAUACUGCGAGACUAGAGUAAUGGAGGGGGAACCGGAAUUCUCGGUGUAGCAGUGAAAUGCGUAGAUAUCGAGAGGAACACUCGUGGCGAAGGCGGGUUCCUGGACAUUAACUGACGCUGAGGCACGAAGGCCAGGGGAGCGAAAGGGAUUAGAUACCCUAGUAGUC
rnacentral:rRNA from 1 species